rnacentral:rRNA from 1 species
UACGUAGGGGGCAAGCGUUGUCCGGAUUUAUUGGGCGUAAAGAGCGUGUAGGCGGCUAGAUAGGUCCGUUGUGAAAACUCGAGGCUCAACCUCGAGACGUCGAUGGAAACCAUCUGGCUAGAGUCCGGAAGAGGAGAGUGGAAUUCCUGGUGUAGCGGUGAAAUGCGCAGAUAUCAGGAAGAACACCCGUGGCUAAGGCGGUUCUCUAGUACGGUACUGACGCUGAGACGCGAAGCGUGGGGAGCGAACAGG